AACGAACGCUGGCGGCAUGCCUAACACAUGCAAGUCGAACGAUGCCUUCGGGCAUAGUGGCGCACGGGUGCGUAACGCGUGGGAAUCUGCCCUUGGCUUCGGAAUAACAGUUAGAAAUGACUGCUAAUACCGGAUGAUGUCCCCCUGAGAGAUCUUGGGGACCAAAGAUUUAUCGGCCAGGGAUGAGCCCGCGUAGGAUUAGGUAGUUGGUGGGGUAAAGGCCUACCAAGCCGACGAUCCUUAGCUGGUCUGAGAGGAUGAUCAGCCACACUGGGACUGAGACACGGCCCAGACUCCUACGGGAGGCAGCAGUGGGGAAUAUUGGACAAUGGGGGGAACCCUGAUCCAGCAAUGCCGCGUGAGUGAUGAAGGCCUUAGGGUUGUAAAGGUCUUUUACCAGGGAUGAUAAUGACAGUACCUGGAGAAUAAGCUCCGGCUAACUCCGUG
rnacentral:rRNA from 1 species